AUGCAUCUUAAAUUCAGAGGUUUCAAACUAGCUAGUUACAAGUUCAAGUGCAAAGUUCAGUGUGAACUUUGCACUUGAACUUGGGAGCAGGCUUACCAGAGACUGGUGCGAGAGGCUGAAGAUUUAUUGAUAAACUCUUACAAGUCAUUUAUUGACAUCAGAGGGUGUCCAAACAGGUAUGAUGGUGACAUCAGCCUAGCGGUUAGCGGUGUGUUCUAAAUGACACAUCCCUUUUUCUUUGUUUUUCAGGUAAAGGAGGCCGGUCAAGUGGACGAGCUGGUCAGAGAUCCUGGGUUUUGGUUGGCCGAGACGGGUUCUUGAUUUGAUUACAUUUUCAAAAUAGUGUGGAUUUGUGUGACCUUUAUAUCAUGGAUCUUUUUUUCAUCUCUUUGAAACCUAAUGUUAAAAAAUAUUUGUUUCUUAUCUCACAAUUUAUUCCAGCAACUUCCAUUUGGCUGCAAAUGGUUCAACAAGCUUAAAGGCAUACAGAGAUAUCUGUAAGUGGGUGGGCCUUUGCCUUUACCCAGAUUCAGACAUGUUGCAUAAUUCCAAAUUCUUCACUGUGUAUCCAGAAUGGGAGUGUGCGGGAGGCAUUCGAUUUAAGCCAUUUUCCCUCACAUGAAGAGGAGCUAGGCUACUGUAUCUCUGCAAGUCAAUGAAAGAUGCUAACGCCACAUUAUGCACAGAAGAUGAUGAAUUUGGAAUUAAACCAAGUCUGAAUCUGGGAGAAACAGGCAAUGUCAUGAAUAAAGUUGUAUAAAGUCAACUUGAUGCUUGAAAUGCUGACGCAUUUAGGCAAUUUAAGCAUGUUUGUCAGCAGGUAUAUUUGAUAGUUUGAAUGCUCCCAAAUUUUAUUUGUGGGUGAUAUUUCCCAAAUGCUAAUCUUAUCAACAAUCUGUAUAUAGACACUAGAGAAUAGUUAGAAAAGACUUUUUUAAACAGUACACACACACAGAUGACCAACAAACAAAUCUUAAGCAUUUGGUUUUAGGAUGCUGCAAUCUCAUUUGGGUUUGUAUAUUUGGACGUCUUCUUCUCCAGGAACCACCUUGAGCCAGCAGCAGCUCUGGGGGUCUUCUUGUUAGGAGGGAGGGUCCAUAAGGCGGCUUUGCUGAACAGUGUAAUAGAUGGUGUUUCCAUUGC
ensembl:lncRNA